GCGACUGCUCCCGCGAGGUCAGAGCCGGGCUGUGCCGCUGCCCCCGGGACUAGAAAGGGAAAUCUCCUUGCUAGAGGAGGAAGCCCUAAGAACUCAAGGGAGAUAGGGGUGGCAGGGGCAUUUCCCUGGAUGCCUGGAGCAUGGAGGGUGCGAAAUAAGGAGGCUUUCCUACCCCAUUGAUGAGCUGAAGUUGAUUCCGCACGGGGGAGGAAAGGGACAGGAAGCAUAAUUGGAUGUGCAAGCCUGUGGUUCUUCAGGAAGUUAACACGUGGAACUAACACUGUUGGAUGCUGCUGAACUCUCAGGUGAUUGAUGUGACUAACCUCCUCAGAAAAAUCAUCAUUGACAUCCAACACCAGCACUGGAAUGUUCAUCAGAGCCUCAAAGUGGAGCCUAUAAGAAGCGUGAACGUUUGGGGGACAGAAAAAAAGAAAUGUAACUUGAGUCAAGUUUCACAUACUCGCCAAGUCUUACUCAGAGAACAGAUCUAAAUUCAACAUGACUUUUCAAAGAAACUGCAUGUAAACUGCAUUUAAAAAAACAAAUUCAAUAAAGUUGGCCGGAAACAGAAA